UACGUAGGGGGCAAGCGUUGUCCGGAAUCAUUGGGCGUAAAGCGCGUGUAGGCGGCUUGGUAAGUCCGGUGUGAAACCUUGGGGCUCAACCCCAAGCCUGCAUCGGAAACUGCCUCGCUCGAGUCCGGGAGGGGAGAGCGGAAUUCCACGUGUAGCGGUGAAAUGCGUAGAGAUGUGGAGGAACACCGAUGGCGAAGGCAGCCCUUCUGGGCCAACACUGACGCUCAUGCACGAAAGCGUGGGGAGCAAACAGG
rnacentral:rRNA from 1 species